GACGAACGCUGGCGGCGUGCCUAAUACAUGCAAGUCGAGCGCAGGAAAUCGACGGAACCCUUCGGGGGGAAGUCGACGGAAUGAGCGGCGGACGGGUGAGUAACACGUAAAGAACCUGCCCUCAGGUCUGGGAUAACCACGAGAAAUCGGGGCUAAUACCGGAUGGGUCAUCGGACCGCAUGGUCCGAGGAUGAAAGGCGCUUCGGUGUCGCCGGGGGAUGGCUUUGCGGUGCAUUAGCUAGUUGGUGGGGUAAUGGCCCACCAAGGCGACGAUGCAUAGCCGACCUGAGAGGGUGAUCGGCCACACUGGGACUGGGACACGGCCCAGACUCCUACGGGAGGCAGCAGUGGGGAAUCUUCCACAAUGGACGAAAGUCUGAUGGAGCAACGCCGCGUGAACGAUGAAGGCCUUCGGGUCGUAAAGUUCUGUUGUAAGGGAAGAACAAGUGCCGCAGGCAAUGGCGGCACCUUGACGGUACCUUGCGAGAAAGCCACGGCUAACUACGUGCCAGCCGCCGCGGUAAAAC
rnacentral:rRNA from 1 species